UACGGAGGGUGCAAGCGUUAAUCGGAAUUAUUGGGCGUAAAGAGCACGUAGGCGUUUUGACAAGUCGAAUGUGAAAAUCCAAAGCUCAACUUUGGGACUGCAUUCGAAACUGUCAGAAUCGAGGGUGGACGGAGAGAGCGGAAUUCCACGUGUAGCGGUGAAAUGCGUAGAUAUGUGGAAGAACACCGGUGGCGAAGGCGGCUCUCUAGUUUACUCCUGACGCUGAGGUGCGAAAGCAAGGGGAGCAAACAGG
rnacentral:misc_RNA from 1 species